UCUUUUUUCCUUUGUUAAAUCUUACAAUAUUUUUUUUUAAAACGUAUUUGCAAAACAACUCAAAAUGUUGAGAGCCUGAAACCCAGUGUUCAAAUUUCCUCAAAUCAAACUUUAUAUAUGCCUGAACUUCAUAAAAUUCCGAAAAGCUCUGUUUUAAAUAGAUUUUGAAAACCUUUUCAAAUUUUUUAUAGAAUAAAUAAAUUAAGAUGUUACCAUGGUAUCGCCUGCGACCGAAACACUGGUUCUACUUUCUAUGCAAUGAUCCCAUUGCCGGAGAGUUCAUGAAGUGUAGCAUGAUCUUCAUCUGUAGCGUGCUGCUGCUGAGGCGUUUGGGGCGUAGUUUUCCCGCCCUGACGCAACGUAUUGAAAAGUUGUUUAGUUCCUAAGCGAGAGUUCUAUGCGAAAUGGCAUGAUUUGGUUUAUAUGUUACGAAAUUCGUUUAGGUUUAUUAAAAUCAACUUUGUAGAAUAUUAAUAA